AUGGCGAGGUCCAUCCGAACGAAUAGGUUCAGCUGGGCACCUUAUGGACAGUUCUCAACUAUGUCCAACUUGACAAUGCUAUACCGGAUGUGUUUCAAUGUUCCGGUGGCACGCAUUGUGUUGGUCGUAUUCGUGUCCUUCUGUGCUGGAUACCUCACUCAGCUUUGCCAAUCUAGCCUGAGUUCCUCUGCAAGGCAAUUCUUACUAAGUUCGUUGUGUGAAAUUUACAGGAGUUAUUUGAAGAAUGGACUCACUAUGCAGCUAGAUGUUCCAAUUGGAUGCCCUUGCAAGAAGUAUUGCUGUGGUGGGUACAGCGCCACGGCCCCUCCCGCAUCAACACGCUGGUCCUCCAUAUGCAAAGUUGCUACUUCAAAGACGCACACAGUCCACCCAUAUGAUGCUUCUAGCUCUUCAGAUUUUACACCAUCGCUCCAUGUGGGAGGAGAAAUUGCUAUUGUUAUUCUGGUGAAAGCUGCAUUGGAGAAGAGUACGUGCAAAAGCAAUCAUGAUGCACGGUGGCAUAGCAGGAGUAGAAAAAGUGCAGCUCAAAGUGAGUGCACCUGUAUAAUUUCCUAG
rnacentral:rRNA from 1 species